AGUGGUUCUUGGGCGAUGCACCUGGAAUUGGGCUCCCUCCUCUCUGGUUCCAGGUGCAUCACCUGAGAACCACA
rfam:Myotis brandtii contig166672, whole genome shotgun sequence.